rnacentral:rRNA from 1 species
GCCAGCAGCGAUACCUAGCACAUUGAAUGUACCAGUUCCCAAUGGAUCACCGAAGAAGCAACGUUGCUCGUGGUUAGUACCCGGAUGGGUAACCAUCUGGCAACCUGCUGCUGGCG